GAUGAAGAACGUAGUGAAAUGCGAUAAGUAAUGUGAAUUGCAGAAUUCAGUGAAUCAUCGAAUCUUUGAACGCACCUUGCGCUCUUUGGUAUUCCGAAGAGCAUGCCUGUUUGAGUGUCAUGAAAAUAUCAACCUUGACUUGGGUUUUGUGCUCUAGUCUCGGCUUGGAAUUGGGUGCUUGCCGCUUUAACGAGCGGCUCACCUUAAAUGUAUUAGCUGGAUCUGUCUUUGAGACUUGGUUUGACUUGGCGUAAUAAGUAUUUCGCUAAGGACAUUCUUCGGAGUGGCCUCGUUUCUAGGACGCUUGUCCGCUUUCCAAUACAAGUUCCACCUCGUGGACAUGACUUUUUAUUAUCUGGCCUCAAAUCAGGUAGGACUACCCGCUGAACUUAAGCAUAUCAAUAAGCGGAGGA
rnacentral:misc_RNA from 1 species